AGUGAACGCUGGCGGCAGGCCUAAUACAUGCAAGUCGAACGGCAGCACAGCAGAGCUUGCUCUGUGGGUGGCGAGUGGCGGACGGGUGAGGAAUACAUGGGAAUCUGCCCAGUCGUGGGGGAUAACGUAUGGAAACGUACGCUAAUACCGCAUGCGCCCUAAGGGGGAAAGCCGGGGACCGCAAGGCCUGGCGCGAUUGGAUGAGCCCAUGUUCGAUUAGCUAGUUGGCGGGGUAAAGGCCCACCAAGGCGACGAUCGAUAGCUGGUCUGAGAGGAUGAUCAGCCACACUGGAACUGAGACACGGUCCAGACUCCUACGGGAGGCAGCAGUGGGGAAUUUUGGACAAUGGGCGGAAGCCUGAUCCAGCCAUGCCGCGUGAGUGAAGAA
rnacentral:rRNA from 1 species